rnacentral:tRNA from 1 species
UCUUUUAAAGUAAAUACAUUUAAUUUCGACUUAAAUAUUGAUUAAAUCUAAUCUAAAAGAA